rnacentral:rRNA from 1 species
GCCGGACCUGACUGCUAUCGGAUUGAUACUAAGCCAUGCGAGUCUUUGUAGUAAUACAAGGCAGACGGCUCAGUAACACGUAGUCAACCUACCCUAUGGACAAGAAUAAUCUCGGGAAACUGGGCAUAAUUCUUGAUAGAUCAUAAUGCCUGGAAUGGUUUAUGGUUAAAAUGAUUCGUCGCCAUAGGAUGGGACUGCGGCCUAUCAGCUUGUUGGUGAGGUAAUGGCCCACCAAGGCGAUUACAGGUACGGGCUCUGAGAGGAGAAGCCCGGAGAUGGGUACUGAGACACGGACCCAGGCCCUAUGGGGCGCAGCAGGCGAGAAAACUUUGCAAUGUGCGAAAGCACGACAAGGUUAAUCCGAGUGAUUUCUGCUAAAGAAAUCUUUUGCCAGUCAUAAAACCACUGGUGAAUAAGGGGUGGGCAAGUUCUGGUGUCAGCCGCCGCGGUAAAACCAGCACCUCAAGUGGUCAGGAUGAUUAUUGGGCCUAAAGCAUCCGUAGCCGGCUUUGUUAGUUUUCGGUUAAAUCCAUGUGCUCAACGCAUGGGCUGCCGAAAAUACUGCAUGGCUAGGGAGUGGGAGAGGUAGACGGUACUCAGUAGGAAGGGGUAAAAUCCUUUGAUCUAUUGAUGACCACCUGUGGCGAAGGCGGUCUACCAGAACACGUUCGACGGUGAGGGAUGAAAGCUGGGGGAGCAAACCGGAUUAGAUACCCGGGUAGUCCCAGCUGUAAACGAUGCAGACUCGAUGAUGCAUUGGCAUAAUAGCCAGUGCAGUGUCGCAGGGAAGCCGUUAAGUCUGCCGCCUGGGAAGUACGUACGCAAGUAUGAAACUUAAAGGAAUUGGCGGGGGAGCACCACAAGGGGUGAAGCCUGCGGUUCAAUUGGAUUCAACGCCGGG